AAAUGGAGCAGAAAACACACGGUGUGGACGAAGCAAAAGACCGAUAGAAAGCAGGCCUUGGUGUAAAAAAUGUGAGAUGGUCUAUUGCUACUGAAUCUUCCCAUAGACGAUGUUUUCGUCCAAGAUAAAUCGUACUCAGGAGCAGGGGGAAAUAAUGGGCUCCUUGCUUUGAUAACCGUAGGGCUGCAGAGAGCGGCGUGCAUUUAAACAUCUUCUUUUACCAUCUCCUUGGUGGUGCUUGUCCUGGAAAACUACCUUCACUCGCCUGCAGGUGAGUUUAUCUCCCAGCAGCCUCCGGUGGCGGGUCACUUUCUGUCUAUGAAGUUGCACUGAUGAUUAAUUACACAGCAGAGGUGAGGGUGGGGGAGAAAACAAAGGCCGAUCCAUCUGCGUCAGGGCAAGUGGACAGCCCCGUGACGCAGCGGGCGAGAGCUCUGGCAAUGCCAUCUAUCACGGAACGGCCACUGCACAAACACAAGGUCAGGCUGCUGCCUGCCUCCAAGAUGGCCCUGGUUGCACCUCAAAACCCCUGUUAGACCCUCGGACCAUCUUUUCCUUUCUGGUUACAUGCCUGGGAAACAACAGGAUGAGAGGGGGAGCAGUCGCCUCACAGCUGGGGAGACUAACUCUGGUCUGGUAGUCUCAGUCUAGACCAUGUGUGCGAACCAGGACAGGAUCUUCCAGCUUUUCUCCUGCCUCAUUGGCUGUCACACAAGCUGGUUUGGUUGGUUCCUGCCAACAAAACGGACCUUCUCAUUCCACCAGGUUUCUGCUGAUGAACGACUGGAGCUUGUUGGCCAUCGACCAGGUCUACAGCCCAUUUAGACACAAGAAAAAGACUCCACACAGAAGACAACAUAUUCUGAUUUCUGCUGAAACAAGGAGAGCAAACUUAACUUAUGCAUGAGUCGAAAGUUGAAGCUGCAAAUAUUUUUGUCACAUCUGUGCUCCAAACAUUUCUCUGGGUUGUAUUGCACUUAGCACCAUGAGACAUUUCCACAUCUGAUUUAACAUUUGCUCAGCUGUGAGCAUCUCGCUCCGUUUCUUUGUUGGAUCAAUAUAAAGGAUGAAAGUAGCACAAAGUGUAUAUUUAGUGUGCAGCAUGACUUUUUUACCACGUUGCAGCUCCAAACACGUGUAGCGUACAGUCAUAGUGUUGAAUUCAGUUUAAAAAGCAAAAGGACAUUAUUCAGAAAUAAAUGGAGUGAAGAAGUGCAAACAUGACUUUCUAAUUUAAUCCUGUACAAAAAUAAUAAUUUUGUCAUUUUUUUUACUAAAUAUAAUUAAAAUUCCACCCGUGGUGAUGAGGUCACUUCUGGUUAAGGUCUUAAAAGAUUUUUGACCCAAGGAACAAUGAUUUUUUGAGAAUUGGGGUGUGGCUAGGCCCAAAUUCUUCUACCUGAUUGGUCAGAAACAUCUGACAUUUUGAUUUGAAUACAAAAUGUUGCUGUCAGUGUUGUUUAAAAUCUUUAAUACAUUAGAAAUAUGACGAAAUUUAUAGCAAACCAGAAGAUCUACUGCUAGCUAGCUCAACCGUUAACUCUGCUGAAAACAGGGGUGUGUCCGGAGAGGGGACUGGGGGGGCAAGACAGUAAAACAUCUAGAACAUUUAUUCUAUAGAAACAUUUAAUCUAAAACAAAUAAACAAUAAAAUAUCAAAAGUAAGAUGACAUUUGGAAGUUUAUUACUUUUUAACAUUUUAGUACUUUCAGCAAUAAACUGAGCUUGGUUCAUGCUCAAACACU